rnacentral:rRNA from 1 species
ACCCGCGUACAUGCCACCGGGGCAUCCCGGAGGCAGGAAAGGCUUCGGCCGGACAGGGAUGGGCAUGCGGCGCAUUAGGCAGUAGGCGGGGUAACGGCCCACCUAACCGACGAUGCGUAGGGGUUCUGAGAGGAAGGUCCCCCACACUGGUACUGAGACACGGACCAGACUCCUACGGGAGGCAGCAGUGAGGAAUAUUGGUCAAUGGUCGGGAGACUGAACCAGCCAAGCCGCGUGAGGGAGGAAGGUACAGAGUAUCGUAAACCUCUUUUGUCAGGGAACAAAGACUGGGACGCGUCCCCGGAUGAGUGUACCUGAAGAAAAAGCAUCGGCUAACUCCGUGCCAGCAGCCGCGGUAAUACGGAGGAUGCGAGCGUUAUCCGGAUUUAUUGGGUUUAAAGGGUGCGCAGGCGGUCUGUUAAGUCAGCGGUCAAAGCCCGGGGCUCAACCCCGGCCCGCCGUUGAAACUGGCAGUCUCGAGUUGGAGAGAAGUAUGCGGAAUGCGCGGUGUAGCGGUGAAAUGCAUAGAUAUCGCGCAGAACUCCGAUUGCGAAGGCAGCAUGCCGGCUCCACACUGACGCUGAGGCACGAAAGCGUGGGUAUCGAACAGGAUUAGAUGCCCUGGUAGUCCACGCAGUAAACGAU